rnacentral:lncRNA from 1 species
CGAUGAUUAACUGAAUGCGUACCCAUAUAACGAAAUGGGCUGACAAAAAGAAAGAGCUAAACUAUAUCAUGAAUAUUGUGGCUAAAUACAGCUAUAAGAAAAGAGUAAUUGAUGAGAUUCUAAACAAAGUAGAGGCUAAUAUGGCUGUUAAUGAAGGGAGACAUUCCCCUAGGUAGCCAGAGUUGCGGUCAUUUUCGAAGUUUCGUUUUCAGUUGUAUAUUACCCAUGUAUGGAUAAGGUCCUAAAUAAAGCGGUGAGCCAAGGUACUAGAAGGAUGGUAAGAAAGAGAAGGGCCACGGUAUUCAGUAUGCUUCGAAAUGAUAAAGUGGACAGCGCCAGAAGAGCGGGGUAUACGAGAUACUCGUAUACAAUAAAAUUCGGGGUAAAAUGCAGUACUACAUUGGUAGCAUAAGGAGAGCAUUACAAGUUAGGCUUAAUGAGCACAAAGAUGAUAUCAGAAAUGAGAGAGUUAUCACGGCCUUUGCCGCUACAGUAUACGAAGAUGAUGUUGAUGUGAAAUGGGGUGAUACGAGGUUGGUUAAAAUGCUCCGUGAUUUUAAGGGAUUAGCUAUUACUGAGGCAGUAUUGAGAAACAUAGACAGAAUGAAGAUAUUAUCAAUGCUAAACCACCUAUGGCGUUACUGCUAGCCUGGAAGUGGUGUGCCGAACAAAGGCUAUGACUUAUGUUCUGUAGAUGGCACCAGAUGGAACUGAUGGUACUGUAUGCUUACAUAUUGUGCUGGUAACUAUAAGAGGGAACGUAACACUGAUGUCAUCUGUAAGGUAGAUAGGUCUAGGCAAGUCUUGUGAAGAACAUGGUGGUUCCUAUGUUGGUAUGCUAGUAUAUCUGUUUUUAUCCAUAAUUGUGUAUUUUUGUAACUUGUAUUUUGUCCAUGACAGUAUGUAUUGCAUGCUGUCUAGCUUUUUCCUUUUUAUGUAAAAAUUUUCAUUUUGAAUGUGGUUCGAGAAGAAUAACUAAAAGAAGGUAAGAGCCAACGAACGCCAUGGAACAAAAGAAUUGUAACGGUUAUUUUGUAUAUAUGAUAACUAUGUCUAUAGUGAGUAUGUUU